ACGCUCGACACCUACGGGAGGCAGCAGUGGGGAAUAUUGCACAAUGGGGGAAACCCUGAUGCAGCGACGCCGCGUGGAGGAAGAAGGUCUUCGGAUUGUAAACUCCUGUUGUUGGGGAAAAGAGGAUGGUACCCAACAAGGAAGUGACGGCUAACUACGUGACAGCAGCCGCGGUAAUCUGAGCGGGCUGGCAAGGC
rnacentral:rRNA from 1 species